rnacentral:rRNA from 1 species
CGAACGAAGCCCUCGGGCUUAGUGGCGGACGGGUGAGUAACACGUUGGUACCUACCCCGAAGUGGGGAAUAACUGCCCGAAAGGGUGGCUAAUACCGCAUAAUACCGCAAGGUUAAAGCAGUAAUGCGCUUCGGGAGGGGCCUGCGUCCCAUUAGCUUGUUGGUAGUGUAAUGGACUACCAAGGCGACGAUGGGUAGCUGGAUCGAGAGGUUGACCAGCCACACUGGGACUGAGACACGGCCCAG